rnacentral:rRNA from 1 species
CCAGCGACGCUGCGUGGUGGAUGAAGGCCUUCGGGUUGUAACCCCUUUUCUGGGGGACGAUCCU